CACCUCUAAUAAUCUGGUAGCAUCCAGCUGCACCACCUUUCUUUUGGUCUGUGUUAAGGGAUAUGAGGGAUUUCAUUUUCUCAGAGUUGAACUCCAUUGUGCUGUUCUGCUGCCAAAAGCUGAAGGCUGUAUUUGCAGAGGAUAUGUUAAGCCCCUAAAGGAGAGGAAAAUAAUUGAAUACCUGCCAGGGGAAGGAUUUAAGUAGACAGUUAAGGUUAUUCAUUGCUGUGGGGAAUUCCUGGGAGAUAAAUCUUGUAGUUAAUCACAGACAAGAGAGAGUUGACCCUUGCUGGCUCUUCUACAAUUGUAGGAAUUUUGUUUGCUAAGCAGUAAGAAGAACUCCUGCUCAUGGCCAGCUGUCAUACUCAUCAGUUUGUACAUAGCUGCAAUUUCAGGUGUCUCAGCUUCAGGAUGGCCAUAUCUAUCCUCAAAUCCCUCAGAAGAAACAAUGAUGAGGAAAGCAAGAAUACAAAUCCUUGACCAGGAAAGGUUGGAGUGGGAUUGUCCCCUACAAGAUGGUGCUAAUGCACUCAUUUUUUCCAUUUUUAUUUCUUUGGAUAUGUAAAGUUGUCACAAAUACUAGAAACAAAAUCAUAGAAAUAUGCACAUAAUAUAAGUCAAAUUUUCUCAAGCAAACCUAUGCUAAAACUGGCUCAAGAUAUUAAGGUCUAUUUUUGUACUAUCAUUGCUGUAACUAGGGCACCCAUUCAACCCACCAAAGUCUAUGGAGAACUGUGUCUCUGCACAAUGCAGGUUGAGGUUUCCUUCUGUAGGAGUAUUAAGCGGUUGUUCAUCCAUAUGUGUCUGAGUUUGUCGUGGGAUAAAAGAUGACUUCAUUGUAUUUAAAUGUGUAGAAAUUUUUAAAUAAACGCAGUUUUAGAAUGGUAAUUUACUUGGUAAGCUAUUUGAAAGGUAU